GGUUUACUCAUUUAGAGUAUUUUUUUAAUGUCCAAAUGUUUUGCUUUCAGCUUCUUAAGUGUGAAUAAUUUUUGAUUUUUUAAAAUUUUU